rnacentral:rRNA from 1 species
CCAAGUACGGAAGGGAUAAGCGCUGAAAGCAUCUAAGCGCGAAGCCCCCCUCAAGAUGAGAUUUCCCAAUUAGUAAGACCCCUUGAAGACGACGAGGUUGAUAGGUUCGGGGUGGAAGCACAGUAAUGUGUGGAGCUGACGAAUACUAAUAGGUCGAGGGCUUAUCCUA